rnacentral:lncRNA from 1 species
UUAUAAAAAAAAUACUUCACUUUAUACUUUGGGAGUUCCAACUAUCCUGACUUAAUUCUGUCUCAGUCACCGUGUGAUCGGCACGGGUUCGAUCCCAACCUGAUCUAAUAGGCCCAAUCCAUGAGGUGCCACUCGCUUCAUGGUUCUCAGCGCUCAUGUAUCAUACCUUAGUAUGGCUAAGUAAAUUCUCAGCAACGAGACCCUCGGCUCGUGUGCUCCCUACUUUGGCACAAGUAGUUUCAGGAAGUCAACGCCUUGGUAAGGACCAUCGGCCUGUACGAUGACCCCUUCUCAUAAUAAAGGAUACUCCCAAAAAUCUUUUCUUUCUAAAACUUCUUCUUGUGACUUUUCAAGUCUAAAUCUUUUCUUUAUAGAACAUCAUGUACAUGCUCAUGCUGGUAUCCUUAAAUGUAAAACAUGGCAUAAGAAUAAAAUAAACAUGUAAAAGUAUUUCUAAAGAUUUUUUCUUCUUCAUAAAUUUUCAACAUGAAAAUAACAUAUAAGAAUAACACAAAAAUCUGAAAAUUUAAGCACAUAUAUCAUAAUAAAUCAUCUAAACUUUUGCUAGAACAAUUCUAAGUUAAUAGGUACUCACUCGCUCCAAUUAAGUAAAUAUAAACUGUUUUAAGCAAUUCAUCAAACACCUUGUAUGUGUGCUUUUGUGAGUUAAACCACUUUAGUAAAGAGUUAUAUCAACUCACCUCGAAACUUCUCGAGCCAAUACAUAGACCCCAGUCUAAUUGAUAUCAGUCAAACAAUCGAUUCUACAACAACCAAUGCAGAUUAAUCAAUUUUAAAGUUUCACACCUAAACAUGAAAUUUAUUGUUGAUAUAGAGGAAGAAGAAGAUUAACUAUUCUAUUCUUACCUACUACUACUUUAGGAUAAUUGAGAAUAGGAAAUUCUAUGUACCUGAAUUCAAGAAUUAGUGAUAUCUGAAGAACCCUAUAAUUUUUCGUUAAAUUUCUGCUGCCUCUCGUAAUACCGUGCGCCUGUUUCUCUGUUUUCUG